GGGAAAAGAGGAAUGGAGACGGCUACCCAUGUUGCCAUGACUGCCUCGAGUUUUGCUGUCUCUUUAACCUUGCCUGCAGAAGUGGCUCAUCUUACAAGAACAAUGGGACAUUCAGUGAAAGAAUCCAUCGGAUCACCAGAGGUUAAAGCAGGCAAUUAAGGAAGAUAAAGACAUUGGUGAGAAUGUCUAUGCUAUGAGGUGGCAAAUUUGAAACUGAUUUAAAUAAAAUAAACCCUGAACUUUUUAGCAGCACAUGUAAUUGCUGUGGAACUCAUUGCUACCACCAUCACUGUGGCAACUCCGAAAGGGACAUGGCCUCCUUGCAGAUCAAGAGCCACCUGGAUUGAUCUCUAGGUAGGUUCUUAAAGUGAUCUGUACACUUGCCAUCAACAUGCAGGAUACCAGAAUGGCCCUGGUUUCAAUGGUCACAUGGUUUCAAUGGUCAUUUUUUGCCUAACCAGCAGAGAAACUCCAGGCUGUUUCAGCUACAAGGACAAUUGACCAAAUUGUUGCAGGUGAUUGGCUUCAGUAUAAACAACCUAAUGACACAAAUGUAUUGACCCUGGAGGGCAAUUCAUUGCCUCAGGAUGCUAUUAAGGCCAAGAAUUUAGCAAGAUUCCAAAGAGAACCUUGUAUUUUAUGUGGAUAACAAGAAUGACAUAAAAAGAAAAGGAGUACUUGUGGCACCUUAGAGACUAACAAAUAAAUUGGUUAGUCUCUAAGGUGCCACAAGUACUCCUUUUCUUUUUGCGAAUACAGACUAACACGGCUGUUACUCUGAAACCUGUCAAGAAUGACAUACUGCAUUUCCUGCAAUUGCUGUCAGUCAGGUAUGCAACGCCAGAGUAUGUGUAUGCCCAGGAAGAUCUGUGGAUCUGACCGGGAACAAAUAGGUUGUUUAUCUUUUCUUGUUAUUCCUCAGCGCUUGAGCUCAUUGUAAGUCCGAUUGUGCAUGGUUCUCUUCUCUGAUUGGUGCUAGCUUUGUGUUGAGUUAAAGCUGCAAAGGGGCUCUGUAAUCUCACUGAGUCAGGACUCAGGAGUUGCAAAUUAGGCAUUCAAAGAGCAUUUUUUUUUUUUAUUUUCCUCCCACCAUGUUUUCUUUCUGCAGUGUAAAGAUGUAGAUAUGAAGCAUUUCGGCUGUAUCUUUACUGAAAUAAGGCAAAACUGAGCAUGUGAAGACACCAGGUGUGAAUAUGUACCUGUUACUGGAAGAGCAAAAUUCCUCCAUCAUCUGCUAGUGGCUGUGAAGGUGCUGAAAUCUCUUUGCAAUUUACCAGUACUGCAAAUAAGGAAGCAGUGUGGCCUCCACGGUUUAUAAUUUGAGUCAAAGCAAAUAAGAGGCUCAGUCUGCAGUCCAAGAGAAUGAUUUUGUAGAUGCUCUGUCCCACAGUCACACUUGGCUUACUAAGAUUCCAGUUUUUACUUGAGUUACUGGAAUUUUGUCACAGGCUUCUUCCACGACAGGUACUUGGCAGGCAGUCUGUGUCAACUUCAGUCUCUUUACUCUUUUCCUAUGCUCACAAGCUCACUGCUGCAUUUAUGGGAUAUGUGAAUGUAAAUAUACUAAGUAUCAGAUGCACGAUCUUGGCCAUCUGUUAUUACUGUCAUUUAUCAUACUAUCUUUAGCCUUCAAGAAAUGUCACAAUUUUUAAAUCUGUGAAUUUAACAUCACUGGCAACUAAUAGAAAACUCAAAGAUGCUGAUGGAUGUUUUCAUUUGGGAAAAUGUGUGAACAAAUCUUAAUCUGCCCUGUUAUGACAUAGAUUAAAUAAAAAGGGCGGGGGGUGAAAGAAGGACAGAAGGGACCAUUAUGGUCCCCUAGACUGAUGUCCUGUAUAACAUAGGCCGUAGGACUUUCCCAGUGCUUAAUUUGUAAUGAAAGAUGUGCUGGGGCUCAAGCAAUUUUUUUACAUUCAUAACUGAUGCAGCAAGCCUGGAGGUGCCAGGGCUCAGUCCUGGCACAAAUUAAGCACUGGACUUCUCUGUAUUAACUCAUAGUGUUCAACAAAUAACUAAAAUAGCACCUUAGAUUUCAAUUUAUUGUUUGCGUGUUUUAGUUACACUCUAUUUUUUACUCUUUACAUUCAGUUGUUUGCAUUUUUAUUUUACAAAACUAACUGCAGAUUUUCCAUGCCCUUAGAUUAAAAUGAUCUCAUUCAUUUUUUAAAAAGAAAAAGUUUAACCCAUUUUUGUACACACCAGUCUGUCAUUAGAUUCAGUUAUAUAUAUAAAUCUAUGGCAUUGGACAGGCUCCAGUAAAUGUGCAAAGGUUAAGUGUCUGGGACCACCUUCUACCUCCAUGCAGGAAUCUUCAGGGAAUGUCUUCAGUCAGAGUUCCUUCCCCUCCCCUCCCAAACCCUCGCCUUCACAAGUUACUGUAACAGGAAGAGAGAGCAACCGAUUCAGCAAUUCUGGUGUUCAGUCUCGGGACACACUGCUGCUUUUCUAUUCCCUGGGUUAACGUGACUUAGUGUGCACUUUGUGCUUCAAAAACAGGUGAGGUUUUAAUUCCUCAGUGGUGGGGUCCCAGCAGAGAAGUUGCAACAUCUUUUGUGCCUUGUUAUAAAAUUAUGACAAUUUAUGGGGAAGAAGUAUGGAAUCUAACUCCCCACACACCGUGCUGAAAAUGCACCCCAUUCUCUCUGAUGGUUAGAGAGGCAAUAUUUUAUUAUUGGCACCACGUUGUUUCUACAGUACCAUACAUAUGCAUGGCACUUUAUAGACCCAAGGUGUCUGCUCAGCAGAGUUCCCAAUCUGUAGCCCAGAUCUCAUGUAAAGAAAAAGGUGCUUUUGAAAUAAACAGUGAAUCUAAGUCACUGUUUCCUUCCCAACCUUGCUCAAGCAGUACCGCAGCUCCGUGCUGCCCCUUCCCAGGGCUAGUGGUGAAGUCACAAUCUAGCUCUGAUUAAAGAAAUGAUUUACUAUGUGUUUCAAGUGAUUUCUUUUUUUAAUUACUGUCACAUGGAAACCAACCACAAAACUGGAAUUCACCUGAAUCCUGGAGAGGUUUGGAUUCAGACCUGCAUCAGAACGUCACAGCUCACUCCCAUCUCUUAAACCCAGUAACUGCAUUUUCAGGAAGAAUUUAUAAACUGGUAAUUAUUUACAUUGAAUUGUAAAUGUAUUUAUUUCAGGCAAAACCAGCAAUACCGCUCACUUAUUUCUGAAUUUCAGUGAAACUAUUUAAUCCACGUUUAGGGUUGCACUUUUCAAGAAUACAUUGGUUUUGGUAGAAGAAAAAAAAACUUUUAUGCAGGGCAGGGAGUUCUCCCUAAAUGUUUGGUUUAAAAAAUCUUGCCCCAAACUUGCUCAGUUAGAACUCUAUGCUGGAGGCCCAAUACAACCUCCGUAUGGUCCCGACAGUUAGCAAUAACAAGGAAUGUAUUUUUGUAACUGUAAUAGUAAAAUAUCCAAUGGAGUAUUUCUCUGGUUAUAAUGACUGUGGUAUAUCUGUGUUGUGACUGAAGAUGGUCCGUUCCUAGGUGCAGUCAUAUUCUUGAGUGCCAUAUGUAAGAAUCAGACGCAUAGGAAGAAAAUACAGGGGCACAAGUAUUCUAAAGUUAGGCUGCCUUUAAAGGCACAGCCUUCAAUAAAGGGCAGUAGGUAGUUGCACUGCACUUGUGGACAUUUGGGGAGGGGGAUAGAGGGACACAAUCUCUCCCCAAGUUUCCCAAUGCUUUGCAGGUAUAUGAAGGCUGUACCAGCCCACAGAGAAUGGUGCAAGGAGUGGGAAGGCCAGGUAAUGGUCUGACUUCCCCCAUCUCACCCUUUCUGGGGUGAUAUGUACUCUCAAGGGUCUGGGGAGGGAUGUGGUCCCUGAGGUAGCCUGAAUGCAGGGAUCACAGUUGCGUUUGGUCCUCCACACACAUGACCUUGUGUGGGGUACAGAUAACAACGUGUCUGAACUACAUGCGCUAAGUGACUGAGUAUGCUAAAUAAAUACCCUAUAAAUAAGUUCCUUACCUCCAUUAGAAGGACUUUGAGAUCUACUAAUGAAAAGUGCUAGAUGAGAGCUGCAUAUAAUAAUGUUACUAGCGGUGAUCCAUGACUUUGCCACUCAUGUCCAUAGAUUUUUAUAAGAAAUGUGUUGUGUGGAGUGUGUGUGUUGUGCUGAGAGAUUUGUAUAUUGAUUUGUGCAGGUGGCAAAGGGCAGGUGUUUGUGGUGAGAGGCAUUGUGUGUUUGGGGUUAUUGUGUGUACUGGUUGUGUUGUUGUGUGGGUGGUUUUGAAGAUCUAGGCAGUUGGGCCAAAUAAUCCACUGUUUAUGUAAUCUUCUUCGUACAACCAAUGAAAUGAUUGCAUGCAAAUUAGCUAUAGAGUAAAGAUGGCAACUGGUGGAGUUACCUCUGAUAUCACUGUGGUCUAGGACUCUUGGCAUGGAAUAGAUACAUGCCCAGCUAUCAUACAGAUAGAAUUAAUAGUCAAAAUGGCUGAGAACUUAAAAAUUGGAUAGUAACAGGGUGUGAAUUCCAGUAAUGACUGAACCUGUUGAUCUUCUGAACAAAGAGAGCUCUCAGCCAUGCUCGUAACUGUUUCCAUCACUUCACACUGACUCAACAGACGUUCUAGGCUUCAGAGUGACAAUUCUUGAAUCUUAAUAAAUAGAUAACAAGGGGUUGGAGGUUUCCCUUGCUGACUGAGGAAGAAAUUCAAAGCACCUGUCAACCAAACUAGGUUUUACAGGGCUCACCAUGUCACACCAUGGGAUUUGUGUCCUCCAAAGAUUACAAAUCUUCUCACAGAAAGCAGCAACAGGGGUUUACCCACAAUACAUCUACAACUAGAGAACCCUCUCCUCCACACUGCUGCCACAGUAGACACUGGAAAGCAUUGCACUGCAGGCUACGUGAACCAAGCCAAGAAUGCAGGAGGCAAAUCGCUCGUUUACAGUGAACAGCACUGCAACUCCUUGGUGCAGGGCUACAGGAAUUAUAGAUUCAUUAUCCUCUGCAAUGGGCAAUCCUUUAAAUACUGACUUUAUAUAUUUAUAGUAUUAUUUGUAACCUUGAUUUAUGUGUUCCCAGUUAGUAGUUUAAAAAUAAGGCAUACAACUAAACUGAAUUCUUUAAGGUUUGAGCUUCCAGGGUGGUUACAGAUAAUUCAGGUUAGGGGAGGACUCUGAAUGACACAAUGAGUAAUAGAAUUAAAGACUAUUUAAUAUAAAAUAGUUACACAAACAGGCAUUAUAAUAUAACUAUACACUGCAUUGAUACAUUCUAAGAUGAAAUGGUGCAUUCAAGGGUGAUCAGGCCCUGAAUGAGGGGAAUGAGUGUAUCCUUUCUCUAAUGGUACCUUCGUGGUGGAUGGGUGCACCUAUCUAAAAUCCAUGUACUGCUCUUUUACAAUCAAGUAUAAUAAUGCCCCUUAAUUAAUUAGCAUAAAAUCCACCUUUUUGCCAUAAUUAUUUUCUGCUUUCUCAUUGGCUAUUUAACAUUAAGUAUCAUAUUAAUUAACAUCAGUGAACUAUCAAUAUAGAUAGCAUUUUCCAAAACAUUAGCAUUUUAUCUAAAACAUUUGUAAACAUAUUUUGAUCCUAACUCAUUUUUACAGCAUGACCUGCGGUUAUACCCUAACUUACUUCCAACUUGCAUUUGAACUGUUUCACUUAUUUCACCCGUAAUUAGACCUCACUAUUGUCAAGCCCAUAUUUAGGCCCAACAAUCUAUUCUUUACUCACAUUUCAAUUUUACAUAAACAAAUAUCACGUUUAUAGGCUCUGGCGCUGGUUCUCAACUCCCCUGGUGGUACGCAGAGGUCUUUCAGGGGGUACAUGAACUCAUCUAGGUAUUUGCCUAGUUUUACAACAGGCUACAUAAAAAUCAGUAGUGAAGUCAAUACAAACUAAAAUUUCAUACAGACAAAAUGAGGAUGUAAGCAAUUUUUCAGUACUAGCGUGCUGUGACACUUGUAUUUUUAUGUCUGAUUUUGUAAGCAGGUAGUUUUUAAGUGAAGUGAAACUUGGGGAACGGAAGAAAAAUCAGACUCUGGAAAGGGAUACAGUAGUGUGGAAAGGUUGAGAACCACUUGGCUAUGGUAUCCACCGGCUUUUGUGGAUCUGCAAAUAUUUUUUGUUGGGUCAAGUCUUGAAGUCUUGACGACUAAUAAAAACUUGGUAGAAACAAUGUAACUUUCGUACACUGAGCUAUUUUGGUUUGCUCUUUGCCUUGCACAAUGAGUUGACUUUUCUUCUUUGUGUUGGUCUGCUGUGGACCCAGCUUCUGUAGCCUUCUGCAUCUUCCACUGAUUCUACUGAAUCAUUCCCAUAUUAACAAAUGCCAAGUAGUGCUCUCAUUUCUACAAGACCCCUUUACAAAAACACACUGCUAACCAUUACAUUACUCUUAAGUUUGUUAAAUUAAACCUUAUUUUAGCUUAAUGAUUUUCAACAGCUUUAAUCCUAAAUUGAAUGAUUCAUCAUACCCUCAAUUAAGAUGUGGGGCCAGAUUCUCAGCUGGUGUAAAUCAGCAUAGCUCUAUUAGUUUUAGUGGAAGAUCUGGCCCUUCAUUUUCAUACAAAUUACAUGCAUCUGAAAAAAUUCCUUAGGCGAGUUCUGGAUGCAAUUCAAAACAAGGAUUAAUAUAGCUUUACAGUUAAAAUGUUGUACUUAUAAUAUGCAUAGCAGAGACCCGCAGGUAUGUUCGUGGUGAACUUUUCACCACUUGAAGCAUACUUUCAGAAAUCGGAAGCCGAAUUCCUUUUCAAAAUAGGAAAUGCCAAAACCAGGACAAAACAAGAACUUUUUUUGCCCACAUAUGUUUAAACUCUCAUGGCCUAGGCUAAAUCCAUAAUUGGUCUCCAGCAGUUCAGACUGAAAAAUAGCAGGCUUCUCCCUUCUCCCCACUACCCAUAAAAAUGUCUGUUCUUGUUCAGCUGUAGACUUGUAUAAACCAAAAUUCACUUGUCCUGUGUAAUCAUAAAACAUAUAUAUCUUUGGUCUCUAGCUUUGGUCUCUUGCUUGGAGAUGGUCAGAGCUAUAAAGUUCUAGACUAGAUUGUCCAGAGUGUACAAUUCCAGGGUUUUGGUUCAAACCCUAUAGUUGGUACAUAAAGUAAGUAAAGGUGGUUCAGAUACAUUCUCUGCCCUGCCAAAUUUUUAAUAAAACUGGGUAAACUACCAUUGAAACUCCUAAUAUUUUUUGGUUCUCCGUUAAAGGAUAGCUGGGCCUCAAUGAGCAUCUGGUGAUGUUGUCCGAGGUGUAUGCAGUAGUUGCUGCAUGGAAGCUUAGAAAAGCUCUGUAAGUGGAAUGGUUACUAUGACUGCAAGGAAGAAUCAAAAGAGUGUUGGUCAUUACACAUAUUGAAUCUAUUUCCUUAAGUAUCCUCGCACCUUCUUGUCAACUGUCUAAAUGUGCCAUCUUGAUUAUCACUACAAAAGUUUAUUUUCUCCUGCUGAUAAUAGCUCAUCUUAACUAAUUAGCCUCUCACAGUUUGUAUGGUAACUUCCAACUUAUCUGUAUGUGUACAUAUGUAUAUAUAUAAAAUCUUACUAUAUGUUCCAUUCUAUGCAUCCGAUGAAGCAAGCUGUAGCUCAUGAAAGCUUAUGCUCUAAUAAAUUUGUUAGUCUCUAAGGUGCCACAAGUACUCCUGUUCUUUUUGUGCAGUUUGGAUGCAGUCUAUGAAAUUUUCUGACAGUUUAGUGUCUCAGGAAAACCUGUAACACUCUAGCUUUCUGUGGCUAAUGCUCCUCUUGUUCUGCUUUACCUCAUAAGGCUUCACUUUUUCUCCCCUUCCAUCACACCUUAAAGCACUUGGUGGUGGUGGUGGGGGGGGUUGUUUUCUCCUUAAUCUUCUCCUGCUUCCAUAAUCCCUUCGGUUCCUAUUUCUUCCCCUGUUUGAUUUGAGACCUUCAGUUUUAUUGCUGCUGUUAUGUACCAUCCUUUAACAUCUACGCUUUCUUCUUAGAGACACGUCCUGAGUCGCUGACUUCUGUUCCUGCUGUGGGACCUCAGCGUCCCUGACAAUUAAUUUUUGUUUCAUUUAUUUCAAUUUCUUUUUUCACUUUGACUUUCAGUUGGUUUUUGGUUUGGUUUCUACCUUCAGUUUCUUCCAAAACUCGGAGAGAGAGAGAGAGAACUACUUUGGAUAACUUACUCCUUCCCAGGACUUCCUCACCACUUCCCUUUUCUUUGGCCACCAAGGCUAAUAAAUAAGCUCUUUGGUUCAGCAACUUAGUCAAACAGCUGUUCCUGUCAAAGGGAUGACUGAUUUUUAUGGCAUCGUCCAAGUUUUUCGGAAAAAAUGUCAAGAAAACCUGCCUGUGUUCUUUUUGAGGGGUACAGCAGCUGUGAUCAGAGGCCCGCUAUGGGCAAGAUUGCAAUUAAUUGAAAGCACUUCUAUUUAUACCUGCACUUACAAAAGAUUCUGAAUGUAAAGAGGAGGAGGCCAGGUUGAGGAAACUAAGACAACAACUCAAACUAUACUGACAGUGGUAAAUUAAUCCCUUCCUUAGGGGAAAUUCUGUGGGAAGGGUGCAAACAAUUCUCAGAACAGUUUGACUACUACCCCAAGCCUGCAGGUGUUCAACAUUUUUAAAGGAUGUUUACCAAUAGGCAGUAAAGGCCUGAUCAGAACCCCUCUCGAAGUCAAGAGGAGUCUUGUUACUGAUUUCAAGGAGUUGGAUCAGACCUUGAAGGAAGAGCAUUUUCCCUUACCUACCUUUUCCCCAAUGAAGAGAGGGAAGACUUAGGAAGCAGUAAUUAACAGUAAUGUCACACACAUCUUGCUGACAUACAGUGUGAGCCCUGGUCUACACUAUGAGUUUAGGUCGAAUUUAGCAGAGUUAGAUCGAUUUAACGCUGCACCCGUCCACACCACAAAGCCAUUUUUGUCGACUUAAUGGGCUCUUAAAAUCGAUUUCUGUACUCCUCCCCGACGAGGGGGUUAGCACUGAAAUUGACAUCGCCGGGUCGAAUUUGGGUUAGUGUGGACGCAAUUUGACGGUAUUGGCCUCCAGGAGCAAUCCCACAGUGCUCCAUUGUGACCUCUCUGGACAGCACUCUCAACUCGGAUGCACUGACCAGGUAGACAGGAAAAGCCCCGUGAACUUUUGAAUUUCAUUUCCUGUUUGGCCAGCGUGGCGAGCUGAUCAGCACAGGUGACCGUGCAGAUCUCAUCAGCAGAGGUGACCAUGGAGUCCCACUAUUACAAAAGAGCUCCAUCAUGGACCGAACAGGAGGUACUGGAUCUGAUCGCUAUAUGGGGAGAUGAAUCCGUGCUAUUAGAACUCAGUUACAAAAGACAAAAUGCCAAAAUAUUUGAAAAAAUCUCCAAGGGCAUGAACGACAGAGGUUAUCACAGGGACCCGCAGCAGUGCCAUGUGAAACUUAAGGAGCUCACACAAGCGUACCAAAAAACCCAAGAGGCAAACGCCUGCUCGGGGUCAGAGCCCCAAACAUGCCGCUUCUAUGAUGAGCUGCAGGCAAUUCUAGGGGGUGCCCCUACAACUACCCCACACCUGUACGUGGACUCCUGCAAGGGAGUCUCACACAACAGGGAUGAGGAUUUUGGGGACAAGGAAGAUGAUGAGGAGGGGGAGGUUGAAGAUAGCGCACACCAAGCAAGUGGAGAAACCGUUCUCCACGACAGCAGGAACUGUUGAUCACCUGGAGACAGUAUCCUCCCAACCUGGGCUCCCGGACCUUGAAGGCGGAGAAGGCACCUCUGCUGCAAAUGUUUCAAUGCUGCCACUAGCAUCUCCGUCCCAGAGGCUAGCGCAGAUAAGAAGGCAAAAAAAACGCACUCACGAUGAAAUGUUCUCUGAGCUCAUGCAGUCCACCCAAACUGAAAGAGCCCAGCAGAAUGCAUGGAGGCAGACAAAGGCAGAGUCCAGGAAGACACAAAAUGAACUCGAGGACAGGAGGUGGGAGCAACAGGAGAGGUGGCGGGAUCAAGGGAAAGGUGGCAGCAGCAUGAUGAGAGGAGGCAGGAUGCAAUGCUGAGGUUACUGGAGGAUCAAACUGAUAUGCUCCGGCGUAUGGGUGAGGUGCAGGAAAGGCACAGACAGCCACUGCAGCCCCUGUGUAACCAACCACUCUCCUCCCCAAGUUCCAUACCCUCCUCACCCAGACAUCCAAGAAUGCGGGGGCUGGGGGCCUCCGGCCACCCUGCCACUCCACCCCAGAGGAUUCCCAAGCAACAGAAGGCUGGCAUUUAAUAAGUUUUAAAGUUUUAAACUUUUAAAGUGCUGUGUGGCCUUGUCCUUCCCUCCUCCACCACCCCUCCCGGGCUACCUUGGCAGUUAUCCCCCUAUUUGUGUGACGAAUUAAUAAAGAAUGCAUGAAUUUGAAA